rfam:Isosphaera pallida ATCC 43644, complete genome.
GAGGCGGAUCAGACGGCCGCUCGCGUCACUUGUGGUUCCUUCGGGGAUCAGGGUGGACGCGGGAGGAAAGUCCGGACUCCUCAGGGCGCGAUGGUGGGUAACGCCCACCGCCCGGCUUCGGUCGGGUAGGGACAGUGCCACAGAAAACAAACCGCCUCGACGCCGGGCGGCCACGCGGCAACUCGUUUCCGUUCCGGCGGCGCGGUAAGGGUGAAACGGUGAGGUAAGAGCUCACCAGCGGGGCGGGUGACCGCCUCGGCUCGGUAAACCCCAUCGGGAGCAAGACCAAAUAGGGGAGCAGCGCGGGGGCUUCGAUCCGGCCGCUUGGCCCGAGGGACAGACUCCCGCCGCGGGUCGGCCCGGCCCGCUACCAAUUCGACUCCCGGGUAGGUCGCUUGAGCCGUCGGGCAACCGCCGGCCUAGAGAAAUGGCCGUCCGUUCGGCGCGGCGAGGGGAGACGCCUUCCCUUGCCCGCUGUUCGACAGAAUCCGGCUUAUCGAUCCGCCUCGUUU